AGCGAACGCUGGCGGCAGGCUUAACACAUGCAAGUCGAGCGCAUCCUUCGGGGUGAGCGGCGGACGGGUGAGUAACGCGUGGGAACGUGCCCUCUUCUACGGAAUAGCCUCGGGAAACUGAGAGUAAUGCCGUAUACGCCCGCAAGGGGAAAGAUUUAUCGGAGGAGGAUCGGCCCGCGUUGGAUUAGGUAGUUGGUGGGGUAACGGCCUACCAAGCCGACGAUCCAUAGCUGGUUUGAGAGGAUGAUCAGCCACACUGGGACUGAGACACGGCCCAGACUCCUACGGGAGGCAGCAGUGGGGAAUCUUGGACAAUGGGGGCAACCCUGAUCCAGCCAUGCCGCGUGAUCGAUGAAGGCCUUAGGGUUGUAAAGAUCUUUCAGCUGGGAAGAUAAUGACGGUACCAGCAGAAGAAGCCCCGGCUAACUCCGU
rnacentral:rRNA from 1 species